AGAGUUUGAUCCUGGCUCAGAUUGAACGCUGGCGGCAGGCCUAACACAUGCAAGUCGAGCGGUAACAGGGGUAGCUUGCUACCCGCUGACGAGCGGCGGACGGGUGAGUAAUGCAUAGGAAUCUGCCCGAUAGUGGGGGAUAACCUGGGGAAACCCAGGCUAAUACCGCAUACGUCCUACGGGAGAAAGGGGGCUUUGGCUCCCGCUAUUGGAUGAGCCUAUGUCGGAUUAGCUAGUUGGUAAGGUAAUGGCUUACCAAGGCAACGAUCCGUAGCUGGUCUGAGAGGAUGAUCAGCCACAUCGGGACUGAGACACGGCCCGAACUCCUACGGGAGGCAGCAGUGGGGAAUAUUGGACAAUGGGGGCAACCCUGAUCCAGCCAUGCCGCGUGUGUGAAGAAGGCCCUCGGGUUGUAAAGCACUUUCAGCGAGGAAGAACGCCUGUCGGUUAAUACCCGGUAGGAAAGACAUCACUCGCAGAAGAAGCACCGGCUAACUCCGUGCCAGCAGCCGCGGUAAUACGGAGGGUGCAAGCGUUAAUCGGAAUUACUGGGCGUAAAGCGCGCGUAGGUGGCUUGAUAAGCCGGUUGUGAAAGCCCCGGGCUCAACCUGGGAACGGCAUCCGGAACUGUCAGGCUAGAGUGCAGGAGAGGAAGGUAGAAUUCCCGGUGUAGCGGUGAAAUGCGUAGAGAUCGGGAGGAAUACCAGUGGCGAAGGCGGCCUUCUGGACUGACACUGACACUGAGGUGCGAAAGCGUGGGUAGCAAACAGGAUUAGAUACCCUGGUAGUCCACGCCGUAAACGAUGUCGACCAGCCGUUGGGUGCCUAGAGCACUUUGUGGCGAAGUUAACGCGAUAAGUCGACCGCCUGGGGAGUACGGCCGCAAGGUUAAAACUCAAAUGAAUUGACGGGGGCCCGCACAAGCGGUGGAGCAUGUGGUUUAAUUCGAUGCAACGCGAAGACCUUACCUACUCUUGACAUCCUGCGAAUUUGGUAGAGAUACCUUAGUGCCUUCGGGAACGCAGAGACAGGUGCUGCAUGGCUGUCGUCAGCUCGUGUUGGUAAAAUGUUGGGUUAAGUC
rnacentral:rRNA from 1 species